rnacentral:ncRNA from 2 species
CAAGGCCGCGCAGAAGAGUCCAGCGAUGCCGCUGGCGCCGACGGAGCAACCGCCCCGGAAACUCUCAGGCAAAAGGACUGCGCGGGCCAG